GCGCUGCGCUCCCCCCGGCCGGCCGCCUCUGCCGCUGUGCUCGGGCAGUCCCGAGCAGCCGUCGCUCCGCGCCCCCGCAGCUGUGCGGAAAUAGCUCCCCUCUCCCCCGUGCGCCGCUUCUGCUGGGGCUCUUAACGAGCGUGUGCAACGUUUUUACCUUCACCGACUUUCUUCACGUACACUGGGCAUCCACAAACUACUGCUGUGGUCUUGCGUGGUGCACCGUGUGCAGGCUGCUGAAGUACGCUGACUCGCAGAACGUGACGACAGACUCUGCUGAUGGCUGUCCCCUUGCACAGGCCCACUAAUAACUGUUUUCAACAGUAUCUUAUAUUGGAAAGAGAAGAGCCCAAGGAAUCGGCGACAGUCUCCCAGAUGACCCGUGCUCACUGAAGUCAGCAUUGCAGCUGGAAUGGAUCUUGGUGCAAGCAAAGGCAGGGAGGCUGGAAGAGUUGCAAGCACCCUAAUUCUCUGUGUAGUUUUCUUCCUAUCGCACACUUACAAAACUCAGUCCCUUCCUUGGAUCUGAGGUGCCCCCUCUUCUCUCCCCUAAACAAACUCUUCUUUUCCGCUCCUCUUAUUGGAAUAGGAAGUUCUUAUUGUCUCCUCUUCUAUAAUAAUGAGAAAUUUAGUCGGAUCGUCUGUAGCUGAAGAGAACGUAGAAAACAAAAAGAGAAGCUUUUCCAGAAAGUGAUGUUUGGGGCCUGUUUACAUGAACACUUGCUGUAUUUGUGACCAGCAGUUCCCCUUGGGAGAUGGUCGUUCGUCAGUGUGACGUCACCACGUCCGUGCUCCUCUGGCUCCUGGUGUUUCUACAGCUGCUGCACCGUGCCUGAGACCUGUUUUUUUAAUAUGGGGGUGUUUUUCCUGGGUGAGACACUCAGCCCACCAACGAAUUCCUCUUACUCGUUAAUAACUCUUCAGUCAGCUGUUUGGUAUUGAUAAUGUGGUUUCUAUGCUCCAAGUCAUUCCCCGACAGCAAAUGUCAUCCUCUGUUUUCCCCCCAAAUAACUUGUGAAAAUGAAGGCCCGUGAGAGUGUGUGUAAUAGAAAUAGCCCAUCAGCUAUGUACUCGGAGCUGACAGUCAGCCCCGAGAUCCUCCACAAGGAGUCAGGCAGGAGGUUUAGAAGAAAGCCCUUACUGUAGGGGUUAGCAAACAAAAUGGGAUGCGGACGGGCUGUAUGUUGUGCAAAGUGUAGAGGAGAAAGGAUGUUGCAGAAUAAGAGCAUCUGAUACAGUGAACGUAUGAAUCUGUGGCUGUAUCUCUAAGAAAAAUGUGAAAUUUCUUUGCCCUUUUCAUUGGGCUCUUUACCUCUCUGGAAGCCGGUGCCUAAUCAUGCCUUUGGUGAAGAGUGCUCUCUUACCGCAAGUCUGAAGUGUGCCAGGCAAAAGGUGAAUGAACCACAGGUGCAGGAGAUAGGAUGACACACGCAUGGGUUCAUGCUGUUUCUUAGCCUGUUUCCUAGGCUACACCCCUUAAGGUGUGGAUUCCCUGCAUCCUUUCCCUUUCUGUGGCUAGAUGCACAGCAGUAUCCUAUAGUGCAUGAGCCCAGCGGCCAUUCAGUGAUCUUUCUGUUGCAUUGCUGCCAUGCAGCCUCUGUCCUCGGGGCUGAUUGCGGCUGUCAGCUGUGCCUUUGCUGUUGCCUGAUUGCACUCGCACUCCACAGGUUAUUCAGCUGCUGUGAUGACUUCUCUGUCCAGACAACAAUCUUUUUCAGUGCUAUGGUAAUGGGGCUGCUCAGCUGAAAGUAGAUGCUUAAAAAUUCUCUGCACCCUUCCAUCCUACCAGCAAACAGGUACCGGUGAUUACCCCAAAUGACAGAGAUCAGUCAGACAAAGCCCUGGCAAAGGACAGCUCUUUCAUGGGAGAGCCUGAAGGAAUGGGUCAGGCCAGCUAAUACAGUAACAGCACACCUUAGCCCUGUAUGCAAUUUUCAUUACAGCUAUUGAACAUCUGUGGGCUGAGUGACGUCUGUACAAAGAGAGGGAGCGAAGCAGAUAAAAAGAACAGCUACAGUUGCUACUGAAUAAAGUGAACUUAAAUACCUUUUUUGAUUUGGUUCUUUGGCUGCUUAUUCAGAGCCAGAAUGAGUUAGGGGUAAGUCAGCCCCUGUGAACCCAGCACGGCAGGGAAAGAAAAGCUGACGUGACGGCUGUGAAAGCCACAGAAGACUGAGGGAGGAGUUGCUUCCCUUAGUGCCAUCUGUUGGUUAAUUUGCUAUUACAUGAAUGAGUUUUGCAAGUCAAAUAGUGUAGCUUUGCCUGGUUUUCUGGUUUUUCUUGCUCUGUGCCCAACGAGUUGGUGCCCUUGACAGUCUCCUAGAAAUACAUUAACAAAUAAUUUGGUCCGUUUGUUAAUGUAACAUGAAGUCACUUGGGCUCCUUCACACCGCUGUUCGUUCUGCCUGCUGUAAAUAGAACAAAUUUGUUAACCUCUCUCUGACUGCGCUCUCCUGCUCUUCCUGCCUAGCUGCAGGCCAGGGAAACAGGGAGCACCCUUUGCCUGCGGCAGUGGCUCAGGGUGGCGGAGCAGGUCCCGGAGGCCCGUGGUCCUCGUGAGAAGCCUCUACUGCUUUCUGCCCAGUUCCAGCAUUGGGGGUUGGAAGGGGCUGUUGGGCUGUCUGUCCAGAGUACCAGGCUGCCCCUCAGUACUGCAGUAUCUGAGGUGUCACACUUUUUAGCACGGUUGACCUCGAAGUGGUGCAGUGAAGUUACACGUUGCUGUCGUCCUCGCUGUGCGGAUGGAGAACGAAGGCUCAGAGUUGGAUUAACUUGCACCAAGGCAGGCAGAACGCGUACAACUGGGAUUUGUCUGUGACAAAGUGGAGAAGAUGGGUCACUAUGAAAAGAAGAGCACUGGUCUGUAUCCAUCACCCAUACGUUGGGUUACCAUAGAAGUGAGGGAAGGUUUUGUAUGCUAGGCCAUCUGGUAGCUCCCCAAAUGCUGGGUCCAUCACGUUGCAAGCUUUGUUUCACCAGACUUGGUUGUUCCCACUUGGUUUUACAAAAGUGGAAUUCCUGGGGCUGCAAACUGAAUGUGAGAGAGAGAAAAGCUGGGGUGAAGAAAACCUCUGCAAAAAGGUCGAGGGAAAAUUACGCUCUGAGUUAGCAUGCCUCAAAUUAGAAGAUGGCUAGAUCGCUGGUCGGCUAGAUCUGUGUGCAACCUGGUUUUUGUCCCGGAAAUGUACCGGCAGCCCUGUGGCGCAGAUGUCCACGGAGGCAGAUGAGGCGCAGAGCCGGCUCGGGGCUUCGCAGGGCGCCGCUGGCCAGCGUGCGCUUUGUGCUAGCUGGCGCUGGGGGACGUCUGUGCUGAGCUGCUGUCCUGCUGAUGUAGCGAGGAGGGGCUGGUGGUGUAACUGUGCUCCGUGACCCACCACUUCCUGCACACCCCCUUCUCCAGGGGGAGGCACGGGAAAACGUCCUCAUUGACUCCGCAGCAGGUUUGCUGCUGGAUGGCCACGUCGCCUUUCUUCACGACUUCACCUUCUUUCUCUUUCUCUUCUUUCUCA